UUUUUUUGAUAAAUUAUUAAUUAUUCAAAUACUCCAUAAGCAUAAGCAUAAGGUUGGUGGAUGCAAAUAUAUUAAUUGGUCGACGCCUUUCAAUUCUCUCGAACUCUUCUGUCACUAAAAAGGAAAAAACCGCCGCUAAUUAUGGGGGUGUUGAGAUCAAAACUAGGCCAAGCCCUUUUGCUGUGGUUCGAGGGUUUCCGAGAAGCUUGUUGUCUCCAUAGGGUUUUCAUUCUCUGCCACAGAUCGAGGAAGCUUUUGAUCCGAACAGGACAGUGUUUUCUAUUGAAUGGUUUGAUUUUCUUGGGAAGUAUCUUUGUCUUAAAGUCAGUUGUCAUCCCAACACUCCAAUGGAUAUUGCCUGAUCACUGCUCACAGCUUGGUUUUCAAGAGCCAUGCCCAUUUGGUGGUAUUUUAAAAUUUUAUUCCUUCUUACGUCAUGGACUCAUACAACUUUUUUAUGUGUUAUGGUUCUACCCAUUGUAUGUAUUCAGUCUUAUUCUGAGCAACAUCUGGUACAAUGACGUUGCUAAAUAUGGUUUUGCUGCAAUGGGAAGACAUGAGCCAACUGUACCAGAACCCUCAAGCCAAAAGGAUACCUUGCAAAACCCAGCUUAUAUUGAUAAACAUGCUGGCCUUGGAGGGAUUGUGAUUGGAAUAGGAGAACAGGUCUAUUCAGUUCUUCUCUUGAGUUUCUUCUUCCUGGAGGUUUAUGCUACAGGAUUUAUACCCUACAUUGGGAAGGCACUCAAUUUCCUACUUCUAUCCUGGAUGUAUGCCUAUUACUGUUUUGAGUACAAAUGGAAUUUUUCUGAACUGGGUUUGGAUAAAAGGCUGGAUUUCUUUGAAUCCAAUUGGGCAUUUUUUGCAGGCUUUGGAAAUCCAUGCGUUCUGGCUAUCUUCUUUUUCUCUCCUCUUGUGAGCUAUGGGGUUAUGGCUAUACUCUUUCCAUUGUUUGUUCUGACAGCAACAGGCUCAGAAGCUGAGCAAGUUAUUGAUUCUCGAAGAAGAAAAUGGAAAGGUGCUGGAUUGGGAAGGCUUCCUAUAUUUUAUGCAGCAGAUACUUUGUCGCUGUGGGUCUUGUCUCUCAUUUCCCUCAAAUCUCGAGGACAAACACAAAGCAAUAAAGCACUCUAAGAAGUCAUGAUUUAAUGUUUAUACACACUUUGAACAGAUUCCGAUUUUUCAUCUUUACAAGCAAAAGCUCUGAGAAGUUAUGCCUAAUGUCCAUGUAAAUUAUGUGCAGUUGUUGAAGGUAUGAACUCUACAGAGAUUUGCGCAAAAAUAAGCAUGUAAUUAUCUUUCCUCAAGUAUGUUUCAUGUAUAUAUAGUUUGAAAUAUGAAACGUUUAAAUUAAGAAAAGUGUUGAAAAUAAUGUUAAAUACUCAUUGGCCAAAAAAAGGGGGGGAAUAUUUCAAAGUUCUCCCAUUUAUGAUCUGAAUGAAAUUUCAUUAUGGUUUGUUGAA